rnacentral:rRNA from 1 species
GACGAACGCUGGCGGCGUGCUUAACACAUGCAAGUCGAACGGAAAGGCCUGCUUUCCCUUGUGGAUUGCGGGUACUCGAGUGGCGAACGGGUGAGUAACACGUGAGUGAUCUGCCCCCAACUUGGGUAUAAGCCUGGGAAACUGGGUCUAAUUCCCGAUAGGACUGCAGGGUGGUGCCUGUGGUGGAAAACGAUUUUCUAGUGGUUGGGGAUGAGCUCGCGGCCUAUCAGCUUGUUGGUGGGGUAAUGGCCUACCAGGGCGGCGACGGGUAGCCGGCCUGAGAGGGUGGACGGCCACAUUGGGACUGAGAUACGGCCCAGACUCCUACGGGAGGCAGCAGUGGGGAAUAUUGCACAAUGGGCGGAAGCCUGAUGCAGCGACGCCGCGUGGGGGAUGACGGCCUUCGGGUUGUAAACUCCUUUCGACCGCGAGGAAGCCACCUGGUUGGAAGGGUGGUGACGGUAGUGGUAGAAGAAGCACCGGCUAACUACG